rnacentral:rRNA from 1 species
UACGUAGGGGGCAAGCGUUGUCCGGAAUCAUUGGGCGUAAAGCGCGUGUAGGCGGCCCGGUAAGUCCGCUGUGAAAGUCCAGGGCUCAACCCUGGGAUGCCGGUGGAUACUGUCGGGCUCGAGUCCGGAAGAGGCGAGUGGAAUUCCUGGUGUAGCGGUGAAAUGCGCAGAUAUCAGGAGGAACACCGGUGGCGAAGGCGGGUCUCUGGGCCGUUACUGACGCUGAGGAGCGAAAGCGUGGGGAGCGAACAGG